rnacentral:rRNA from 1 species
AGAGUUUGAUCAUGGCUCAGAACUAACGCUGGCGGCGUGCCUAACACAUGCAAGUCGUACGAGAAAGUUGGCUUCGGCCGAUGAGUAAAGUGGCGCACGGGUGAGUAAUGCGUGGAUAAUCUGCCCUUUAGUUGGGAAUAACGUACCGAAAGGUGCGCUAAUACCUGAUAAUACUGCAUAACUACUGUUGUGUAGUCAAAGAAGGCCUCUGUUUACAAGCUUUUGCUGAAGGAUGAGUCCGCGUACCAUUAGCUGGUUGGUGGGGUAAUGGCCUACCAAGGCUACGAUGGUUAGCUGGUCUGAGAGGAUGAUCAGCCACACUGGAACUGAGACACGGUCCAGACUCCUACGGGAGGCAGCAGUGAGGAAUAUUGCGCAAUGGGGGCAACCCUGACGCAGCAACGCCGCGUGAGUGAGGAAGGUUUUCGGACCGUAAAGCUCUGUCGAGCGGGAAGAAAUGUAUCAUGGCUAAUAUCCAUGAUACUUGACGGUACCGCUAAAGGAAGCACCGGCUAACUCCGUGCCAGCAGCCGCGGUAAUACGGGGGGUGCGAGCGUUGUUCGGAAUUAUUGGGCGUAAAGAGCGUGUAGGCGGCUGGAUCAGUCAG